GACGAACGCUGGCGGCGUGCUUAACACAUGCAAGUCGAGCGAAGCAGUUAAGUUGAUUUCUUCGGAUUGAUUCUUGACUGACUGAGCGGCGGACGGGUGAGUAACGCGUGGGUGACCUGCCCCAUACCGGGGGAUAACAGCUGGAAACGGCUGCUAAUACCGCAUAAGCGCACGAAGCUGCAUGGCUUUGUGUGAAAAACUCCGGUGGUAUGGGAUGGGCCCGCGUCUGAUUAGGCAGUUGGCGGGGUAACGGCCCACCAAACCGACGAUCAGUAGCCGGCCUGAGAGGGCGACCGGCCACAUUGGGACUGAGACACGGCCCAAACUCCUACGGGAGGCAGCAGUGAAGAAUAUUGCACAAUGGGGGAAACCCUGAUGCAGCGACGCCGCGUGAGCGAAGAAGUAUUUCGGUAUGUAAAGCUCUAUCAGCAGGGAAGAUAAUGACGGUACCUGACUAAGAAGCCCCGGCUAACUACGUGCCAGCAGCCGCGGUAAUACGUAGGGGGCAAGCGUUAUCCGGAUUUACUGGGUGUAAAGGGAGCGUAGACGGCAAGGCAAGUCUGAUGUGAAAACCCAGGGCUUAACCCUGGGACUGCAUUGGAAACUGUCUGGCUCGAGUGCCGGAGAGGUAAGCGGAAUUCCUAGUGUAGCGGUGAAAUGCGUAGAUAUUAGGAAGAACACCAGUGGCGAAGGCGGCUUACUGGACGGUAACUGACGUUGAGGCUCGAAAGCGUGGGGAGCAAACAAGAUUAGAUACCCUGGUAGUCCACGCCGUAAACGAUAAUAAAGGGUGUGGGGGGAGCAAAGCUCUUCGGUGCCGCCGCAAACGCAUUAAGCAUUCCACCUGGGGAGUACGUUCGCAAGAAUAAAACUCAAAGGAAAUGACGGGGACCCGCACAAGCGGUGGAGCAUGUGGUUUAAUUCGAAGCAACGCGAAGAACCUUACCAGGUCUUGACAUCCCGAUGACCGGCCCGUAACGGGGCCUUCUCUUCGGAGCAUUGGAGACAGGUGGUGCAUGGUUGUCGUCAGCUCGUGUCGUGAGAUGUUGGGUUAAGUCCCGCAACGAGCGCAACCCUUAUGGUCAGUUACUACGCAAGAGGACUCUGGCCAGACUGCCGUUGACAAAACGGAGGAAGGUGGGGAUGACGUCAAAUCAUCAUGCCCUCUAUGACUUGGGCUACACACGUACUACAAUGGCGUUAAACAAAGAGAAGCAAGACCGCGAGGUGGAGCAAAACUCAGAAACAACGUCCCAGUUCGGACUGCAGGCUGCAACUCGCCUGCACGAGGUCGGAAUUGCUAGUAAUCGUGGAUCAGCAUGCCACGGUGAAUAA
rnacentral:rRNA from 1 species